CGCGUGAGAAUCUGGCUUCAGGUCGGGGACAACCACUGGAAACGGUGGCUAAUACCGGAUGUGCCGCAAGGUAAAAGGCUUGCUGCCUGAAGAUGAGCUCGCGUCUGAUUAGCUAGUAGGUGGGGUAAGAGCCUACCUAGGCGACGAUCAGUAGCUGGUCUGAGAGGACGAUCAGCCACACUGGGACUGAGACACGGCCCAGACUCCUACGGGAGGCAGCAGUGGGGAAUUUUCCGCAAUGGGCGAAAGCCUGACGGAGCAAUACCGCGUGAGGGAGGAAGGCUCUUGGGUCGUAAACCUCUUUUCUCAGGGAAGAAAAAAAUGACGGUACCUGAGGAAUCAGCAUCGGCUAACUCCGUGCCAGCAGCCGCGGUAAUACGGAGGAUGCAAGCGUUAUCCGGAAUGAUUGGGCGUAAAGCGUCCGCAGGUGGCUGUGUAAGUCUGCUGUUAAAGCGUCUAGCUCAACUAGAUACAAGCAGUGGAAACUACACAGCUAGAGUGCGUUCGGGGCAGAGGGAAUUCCUGGUGUAGCGGUGAAAUGCGUAGAUAUCAGGAAGAACACCGGUGGCGAAAGCGCUCUGCUAGGCCGCAACUGACACUGAGGGACGAAAGCUAGGGGAGCGAAUGGGAUUA
rnacentral:rRNA from 1 species